AUGAUAAGUGUGGAGCAGUUUGAGACUGCACGGGGCCUGCUGAUUGAGAAAUACAAUUUGAAGUCCCACAAUUACAUGACAAAUCUUUAUGAGAUACGACAUAAGUGGGCAAAGCCGUAUUUCAAAAGUCUCUUCUGCGCCAAAAUGACGAGCACACAACGUAGCGAGAGUGCAAACAAUAUGUUGAAGACUUACAUGCCGCCAGCAAGCCCAAUGCAUGUGUUCGUGCGACAGUACAUGAGGCUUCAAUUCGACCGAGAAUCGGAUGAGAGCUACCAAGAGAAAAGGACAAGAAUUGUGAGCGAUAUUUCAUUUAUAUUUUUAUCAUUUUUGUUUGUCUUGUCGGAGAAGCUGACAUCUAUCUGUUUUUUGUCCGACUACAGAGUGGUGCUGUGA
rnacentral:rRNA from 1 species